UUUCCCUCUGUUAUCAGCUUUAGGGGUUAUUUUAAUUUUGUCACUACACAAGGAGAUGGUCUCUUGCCACCUUGGAACACAGCCUGAAAUUCACUGAGGUUCUUUUUCAUGACUUUGACUGGACAUUGAGAAACAUUUACCUCUAAAUUUCAGAGAGCUCAGAUACUCAGCCCUCCAGGGCUAUAAAUACAAAAGAAAAAGAAGAAGAAGAAGGAAGAAGGAAGAGAAAGAAGAAUAAGAAGGAAGAAGGAGAGGAAGAAGAAGGAGAGGAAGAAGAAGGAGAGGAAGAAGGUGAGGAAGAGGAAGAAGGAGAGGAAGAGGAAGAAGGAG